UACGGAGGGAGCGAGCGUUGUUCGGAAUCAUUGGGCGUAAAGGGCAUGUAGGCGGCAUUGUAAGUCGGGUGUGAAAUCCCACUCCUUAAUAGUGGAAUGGCAUUCGAAACUGCAAAGCUCGAGUUCAGGGGAAGAAAGCGGAAUUCUCGGUGUAGCGGUGAAAUGCGUAGAUAUCGAGAAGAACACCGGUGGCGUAAGCGGCUUUCUAUCCUGAAACUGACGCUGAGAUGCGAAAGCCAGGGGAGCGAACGGGAUUAGAUACCCCGGUAGUCCUGGCCAUAAACGAUGUGCACCUGGUGUUGGGCCGCGAGGCUCAGUGCCGAAGCUAACGCAUUAAGUGCACCGCCUGGGGAGUACGACCGCAAGGUUGAA
rnacentral:rRNA from 1 species